rnacentral:rRNA from 1 species
UACAGAGGGGGCAAGCGUUGUUCGGAAUUACUGGGCGUAAAGGGCGCGUAGGCGGCCUGUUAAGUCGGACGUGAAAUCCCUCGGCUCAACCGGGGAACUGCGUCUGAUACUGGCGGGCUUGAAUUCGGGAGAGGGAUGUGGAAUUCCAGGUGUAGCGGUGAAAUGCGUAGAUAUCUGGAGGAACACCGGUGGCGAAGGCGGCAUCCUGGACCGACAUUGACGCUGAGGCGCGAAAGCCAGGGGAGCAAAGCGGG